UCACUCUUUGGGAUAUCGCAAACGGUUUGGAUCUCAUGUGUUUGGGCUAAAUAAAAUUGGACCUUUGCUUUUCCUCACUCACUGAUUCUGUGUGGUAUUUCUCGAAACCUGAAUGAAGACUCAACUGAACUAGCAAGGAAUGGUAUACAGAUUAUAAAUCCCUACUUCAUCCCAGAAGUGAUGCACAUGGAGACUAGUGAACUGUCACAGGAGUCUGACGGACAGGAUGGAGGGACUACAGAUGAGUCUGUGGACAGUCUACACUGUCGAACUCUGAAGCCAUGGAGAGGAGGCUGUGCACCCAGAUCUGGUCAUGCCGGUGAGAGGUCCAGAGAAGAUGCAGGGAGGCUGACACAGGAAGCAAUGGGGAGAUUGAUGUAGAGACUUUCUUAGGUUUUGAGGCAGUACAACGUCAAUCUCUCAGAGGAAGACAUCUUUCAUCCUACAUCUUUCUUUGAUAAGAACAUCUCAGGAUGUAUUUCAUACAAUGAGUUUCUGAGCAUUUUACAAAAUAUAUGCAGAGCCAUCUUGUAUUGUAUUGUAAUAGUACAACAUAGUGUGCAGGGGUGGACAAGUCAGUAGACAAGAACAUGUUUUUAUUGUUUUAUUUGUAGUUGUGGACAAUAGGCUCAGUAGGCUAACAGUCACUGUAUUUUUUUCUUCUCUAGUGUAACAACCAGAGAAAGAAAGAAAAAGAAAAAAACCUGCCUCCUAUUAGCUUUUACAAAACAAGCAUUUACUUUUUUACUGUAGUAUGUGUAACUUGUUAUGAUCCCACCGCCUGUUGCACUACUCACAGCCGGUUUUACUAUUCAUAUUAUUUGACAUGUGACCUUUUGACACAUAAUCUUUUCAGAAUCAGGAACACACAGGCAUAUGGAAACACUGACGAAUCCAAGAGAAAAUAAAUGCAGCGCACAGUGAUCAUGUAACUCCAAACACAGCACACAGUCACCUUAAUACUAUUGUGGCAUCGGUGAGCAAUAGACUUGAUCAGGAAGCAUUGUUAAAACAAUGCACUGGCUUAUAGAACAAAUGCAGGCUUGGUAAUUACAAAUCCCAUUACAUGUCGUAAAAUUGCUAGACAUAACAAAAACUAGAUAAAGUUCCAGUAUAAAACAUAUAUAAUAAACAAACAGCACAGUACUAUGUUAACAAGUAAGACUUAAUGUAACAGAGCGACAUUAACAUUAAACUGCUAACAUUAGAGACGCCCCAGAAAAUGCAUAUUAAGACUUGCUAAUGGCAGCGAGGUUACAAUAUCUUAUAUGUACAAUACAAUAUCUACAAUAUCUCUUAUGUGUGAUAAUAUCAGCUGUGCUACCUCAGACACUUCUUUAGAAAAGGAUAAUGACUGUUGCAAAGAUAUAUGCUACGCAGGAGUAUAUUUUAUAUACGUGUUUGUGUCUGUAUUAAAGCACAUAACUAGGAAUUAAUAAGUCAGCAUGUGCUAUUGCAUUAUUUUAGCCUAGUCAGUAAUGGGAAAUGAACACAUGUUACUGGGCAAGCAUAUUGAAGCUUUCACUUAGCCAGUGGGCUAUACAAUGAAUUUGUCCACACUUGGUGUGUUCUAUUAGUUUAUUUAUUUAUUUAUUUAUUAUUAAUACAAAACAAUU